rnacentral:rRNA from 1 species
UACGGAGGGGGCUAGCGUUGUUCGGAAUUACUGGGCGUAAAGCGCACGUAGGCGGCUUUGCAAGUCAGAGGUGAAAGCCCGGGGCUCAACCCCGGAAUUGCCUUUGAGACUGCAUCGCUAGAAUUGUGGAGAGGUAAGUGGAAUUCCGAGUGUAGAGGCGAAAUUCGUAGAUAUUCGGAUGAACACCAGUGGCGAAGGCGACUUACUGGACACAUAUUGACGCUGAGGUGCGAAAGCGUGGGGAGCAAACAGG